rnacentral:rRNA from 1 species
GACGAACGCUGGCGGCGUGCUUAACACAUGCAAGUCGAACGGUGAAGCUCCAGCUUGCUGGAGUGGAUCAGUGGCGAACGGGUGAGUAACACGUGAGCAACCUGCCCCUGACUCUGGAAUAAGCGCUGGAAACGGCGGCUAAUACUGGAUACGAGAAGGGUCCGCAUGGGCACUUUCUGGAAAGUUCUUCGGUUGGGGAUGGGCUCGCGGCCUAUCAGCUUGUUGGUGAGGUAAUGGCUCACCAAGGCGACGACGGGUAGCCGGCCUGAGAGGGCGACCGGCCACACUGGGACUGAGACACGGCCCAGACUCCUACGGGAGGCAGCAGUGGGGAAUAUUGCACAAUGGGCGGAAGCCUGAUGCAGCGACGCCGCGUGAGGGAUGACGGCCUUCGGGUUGUAAACCUCUUUCAGCAGGGAAGAAGCGAAAGUGACGGUACCUGCAGAAGAAGCACCGGCUAACUACGUG